CCUCAUGAUGAAAACUUUGUCCAGUUCUGCUACUGAAUGUUAAGUGGUGAUAGUUCAUAUUCUGAAGG